CACAGACCAAACCCCAACAGGUGGCAACUGGCUGGUAGGCCCCUGGGCAUGUACAUCCUCCAUCUGUGCUGUGAGGCGAGGUGGCAUAAGACAGUUUUGACCACCAAGCCAGCCAUCGGCUGGAUGAAGAAAGGACUGCCAUUUGCUCUGCCCCUGACUGAUAGAAGACCACCACCACCGCCUAUAAGGUGUCUUUUUUGCCCAUUGUCAAGGAGGUUGCUGGUACUACUUAAACUAUCAAUGUAUAAAUAAAAGACCGGAGCAAGAAAAAGG